UACGGAGGGUGCAAGCGUUAUCCGGAUUCACUGGGUUUAAAGGGUGCGUAGGUGGGUCUGUAAGUCCGUGGUGAAAUCUCCAAGCUUAACUUGGAAACUGCCAUGGAUACUAUAGGUCUUGAAUUUUCUGGAGGUAAGCGGAAUAUGUCAUGUAGCGGUGAAAUGCUUAGAUAUGACAUAGAACACCAAUUGCGAAGGCAGCUUACUACAGGAACAUUGACACUGAGGCACGAAAGCGUGGGGAUCAAAC
rnacentral:rRNA from 1 species